ensembl:lncRNA
GCCCCACCCGCAGCUGUUCCCAUGGCCCGUCCUAUUUGUGGUGUUAUUUUAACCCUAAAUACCCUUUUUUGGCUUGUUUUGACUUUAUGGGGUGGGGUGGAUUUUGGCUCAGCAUCAAAGGAGACGUGGGGCCCUAUAGGGGAUAUGGGGCGGCCCUAUAGGGGAUAUAGGGGGCCCUAUAGGGGAUAUGGGGGCCCUAUAGGGGAUAUGGGUGGUCCUAUAGGGGAUAUGGGGGGUCCUAUAGGGGAUAUGGGGGGAUAUGGGGGGCCCUAUAGGGGAUAUGGGGCAGCCCUAUAGGGGAUAUGGGGCGGCCCUAUAAGGGAUAUGGGGGGAGCCCUAUAGGAGAUAAGAGGGGGGCAGCCCCAUAGGGGAUAUGGAGGGAUAUGGGGGGCCCUAUAGGGGAUAUGGGGGGGGCAGCCCCAUAGGGGAUAUGGGGGGCCCUAUAGGGGAUAUGGGGGGUCCUACAGGGGAUAUGGGGCAGCCCUAUAGGGGAUAUGGGGGAUCCUAUAGGGGAUAUGGGGCAGCCCCAUAGGGGAUAUGGGGGGAUAUGGGGGGGCCCUAUAGGGGAUAUGGGGCAGCCCCAUAGGGGAUAUGGGGGAUCCUAUAAGGGAUAUGGGGCGGCACUAUAGGGAUAUGGGGGGAGGGCGGCCCUAUAGGGGAUAUGGGGGGCCCUAUAGGGGAUAUGGGGCAGCCCUAUAGGGGAUAUGGGGGGUCCUAUAGGGGAUAUGGGGCAGCCCUAUAGGGGAUAUGGGGGGCCCUAUAGGGGAUAUAGGGGGCCCUAUAGGGGAUAUGGGGCGGCCCUAUAGGGGAUAUGGGGGGAGCCCUAUAGGGGAUAUGGGGCGGCCCUAUAAGGGAUAUGGGGGAGCCCUAUAGGGGAUAUGGGGAGGCCCUAUAGGGGAUAAGGGGGGAGCCCUAUAGGGGAUAAGGGGGCCAAUGGGGCUGCAUUGGGGUCUAUGGGGCUGUAUUGGGGUCUAUGGGGCUGUAUUGGGUUCUAUGGGGCUGUAUUGGGGUCUAUGGGGCAGUAUUGGGGUCUAUAUGGGGUCUAUGGGGCUGUAUUGGGGUCUAUGGGGCUGUAUUGGGGUCUAUGGGGCNGUAUUGGGGUCUAUGGGGCUGUAUUGGGGUCUAUGGGGCAGUAUUGGGGUCUAUGGGGCUGUAUUGGGUUCUAUGGGGCAGUAUUGGGUUCUAUGGGGCAGUAUUGGGGUCUAUGGGGCUGCAUUGGGGUCUAUGGGGCUGUAUUGGGGUCUAUGGGGCUGUAUUGGGGUCUAUAUGGGGUCUAUGGGGUUGUAUUGGGGUCUAUGGGGCUGUAUUGGGGUCUAUGGGGCUGUAUUGGGGUCUAUGGGGCUGUAUUGGGGUCUAUGGGGUCAAUGGGGCAGUAUUGGGGUCUAUGGGGCUGUAUUGGGGUCUAUGGGGCAGUAUUGGGGUCUAUGGGGUCAAUGGGGCAGUAUUGGGGUCUAUGGGGCUGUAUUGGGGUCUAUGGGGCAGUAUUGGGGUCUAUGGGGCUGUAUAUACAGCUGACAUGCAAAUCAUAUGCAAAUAAGUCAAUUAAACAGACCAAUUAUGCUAAUUAUACGCUGUAAACACACAAACAACCUACAAACAUAAUGAAUAUGCAAAUCAAUGUGACUAAUGAGGGAUAUCUGGUCUGAUAUGCAAAUUAUAUGCAAAUAAUGAGCCCUAAUUAAUUAAGAGUUAAUUAGGGGGAGCAUGAGGUGGGGGAGGGGAUGGAGAAAACAGAGAUAACGAGCACAGAAUGAAGGGGGGUAAUUAGGGCUAAUUAAUAAUUAAUAGUGGCUAAUUAAUGACUAAUUAAUGGCUAAUAAUGGAUCAUUAAUGCCAAUUAAUCCCUAUUAAUGGCUAAUAAUGGGUGAUUAAUGACUAAUUAAAACCUAUUGAUGGCUAAUACUGGAUAAUUAAUGACUAAUUAAUACCUAUUAAUGGCUAAUAAUGAAUAAUUAAUGCCAAUUAAUCACUAUUAAUGGCUAAUAAUGGAUAAUUAACGACUAAUAAUAACUAUUAAUGGCUAAUAAUGGGUGAUUAAUGACUAAUAAUAACUAUUAAUGGCUAAUAAUGGGUGAUUAAUGACUAAUUAAAACCUAUUGAUGGCUAAUACUGGAUAAUUAAUGACUAAUUAAUAACUAAUACUGGAUAAUAAUGGAUGAUUAACGACUAAUUAAUACAUAUUAAUGGCUAACAAUGGGUAAUCAAUAACUAAUUAAUAUAUAUAAAUGGCUAUUAAUGAAUAAUUAAUGCCAAUUAAUACCUAUGAAUGGCUAAUAAUGGAUAAUUAAUGACUAAUUAAUAACUAAUAAUGGAUAAUUAAUGCCAAUUAAUACCUAUGAAUGGCUAAUAAUGGAUAAUUAACGACUAAUUAAUACAUAUUAAUGGCUAAUAAUGGGUGAUUAAUGACUAAUUAGUGCCUAUUAAUGGCUAAUAAUGGAUGAUUAAUGACUAACUAAUGCCUAUUAAUGGCUAAUUAAUGACUAAUUAAUAACUAAUAAUGGAUAAUUAAUGACUAAUACAUAUUAAUGGAUAAUAAUGGGUGAUUAAUGGCUAAUUAAUCCCUAUUAAUGGCUAUUAAUUAAAGAUAUAUACAGGUAAUAGAAAUAAAUAGUGGAUAGAUAAGAUAAAUAAUAACA